GUGGAUGUAGCUCAAUAGGUUAGAGCACUGGGUUGUGGCCCCAGAGGCUGGCGGUUCAAGUCCGCUCAUCCACCCCA
rnacentral:tRNA from 2 species